CCAUUUGUAUACAAUAAUCGUAUUGUAGCGGGUAUCCAAGCUAACGAUGCGGGUUCGAUUCCCGCUACCCGC
rnacentral:tRNA from 1 species